CAGUAGCCGCGGUAAUACGAAGGGGGCUAGCGUUGCUCGGAAUUACUGGGCGUAAAGGGCGCGUAGGCGGACAGUUAAGUUGGGGGUGAAAGCCCGGGGCUCAACCUCGGAAUUGCCUUCAAUACUGGCUGUCUUGAGUAUGAGAGAGGUGUGUGGAACUCCGAGUGUAGAGGUGAAAUUCGUAGAUAUUCGGAAGAACACCAGUGGCGAAGGCGACACACUGGCUCAUUACUGACGCUGAGGCGCGAAAGCGUGGGGAGCAAACAGGAUUAGAUACCCCGGUAGUCCCUGUCUCUUAUAC
rnacentral:rRNA from 1 species